rnacentral:tRNA from 1 species
UAAACAGAAGCGAAUGUUCGCACUCAGUUUCGACCUGAUUAAAGGGUUAACCCCUGUUUAU